CUGAGCCUGUACUGUUUACCUCGCACUCGACUCUAAUCUGUGAGUUGAUUGUCAGCUUCAGUUUCCUGGGAGAGCACACAGGACCCCUGUGAUUACAUAUGGCCCACUUGGAUAACAGGAUAAUCGUCCCAUCUCAAGAUCCUUAAUCACAUCUGCAGUGUCCUCUGUGCCGCAUAAAGGAACAUAUUCAUAGCCUUAACCUGAAGUGGACCCUAACCAUGGAGAAGUCCUGCGGAAGCCAAUGGGAUGGCACAGUCAUCUCAACCCUGAGAGAAAAACGGUCCUUCCAGCCAGGGGAGGCAGGAGGAUGCGACCCUCUCUGAAGAACGUGGAGGGAAUCCGUGUUUAUUGUUUCUCUCCUCAUUUCGCCUGAGGGCAGUUCCUUUUGGCAAAAUCAUGG
rnacentral:lncRNA from 1 species